rnacentral:rRNA from 1 species
UACGGGGGGGGCUAGCGUUGUUCGGAAUCACUGGGCGUAAAGGGCGCGUAGGCGGCCGAUCAAGUCGGGGGUGAAAGCCUGUGGCUCAACCACAGAAUUGCCUUCGAUACUGUUUGGCUUGAGACCGGAAGAGGUUAGUGGAACUGCGAGUGUAGAGGUGAAAUUCGUAGAUAUUCGCAAGAACACCAGUGGCGAAGGCGGCUGACUGGUCCGGUUCUGACGCUGAGGCGCGAAAGCGUGGGGAGCAAACAGG